rnacentral:rRNA from 1 species
GGCACCUUGACGGUACCUUGCGAGAAAGCCACGGCUAACUACGUGCCAGCAGCCGCGGUAAUACGUAGGUGGCAAGCGUUUUCCGGAAUUAUUGGGCGUAAAGCGCGCGCAGGCGGCCUCUUAAGUCUGAUGUGAAAGCCCCCGGCUCAACCGGGGAGGGCCAUUGGAAACUGGGAGGCUUGAGUAUAGGAGAGAAGAGUGGAAUUCCACGUGUAGCGGUGAAAUGCGUAGAGAUGUGGAGGAACACCAGUGGCGAAGGCGACUCUUUGGCCUAUAACUGACGCUGAGGCGCGAAAGCGUGGGGAGCAAACAGGAUUAGAUACCC